UUCUCUCAACCCAAGCUCUUUUGUCAUAGUCCUCAAAGCCCUUGGUCGUAGUGUGUGGCCUGUGGAGGUAUCUGUGAAGCAGAAAGAGGUGGUAGGCAAAAAUGAUGAGCAAUCCACAAGGGACCAGAAUCAAAUCCAGGGUUUAUUAACAAGAGACAAGUGCCGUUGAAGAAGUGCAUUCGAGUGUUUUCUUCAAGCCAUUACUGUCCUCUUUUCCAGCUAUUCGUCCAUCUUCAAGCAGUAAUCAUUUAUAGCCUCUUGCAAUCAGUAAUACUGUUUCUAAUGAUCAACACCUCACCCAUCACAUGAUCAAGUUCACACAAGAAUACAAGAAGGAGAACUAUCUAAUGAUGCUAUUCCUUAUCAAAUUCUUCAUAUAAGUACGGGUAAUACAAAUGAGAGUUCUGACAGAUCAGAAGAGCAAGAAAAUAUUGUUGUUGUGCAGAACAGGCACCCUAUGGUUACAAGGAGUAAAUCUGGAAUAUAUUAGCCGAAAGUUCCUUUUGUUGGCUCAGCAGAUUCCUCUUCCACUGUCAUAUCUGAACCUCAGAAUGUGUCUGAAACCUUGUGAUCAGAUAUGUGGAGAAGGGCUACGAUAGAUGAAUUCAAUGCUCUUGUCAAAAUCUAACAUGGAUUCUAGUUUCUAAUACCAGGAAAGAAGCACCUGUGGAUUGCAAAUGGGCAUUUAAACCUAAGUUUAACCCAGACGGCUCCUUUCUUAAGCCUGAGGCUAGAUUAGCAGCCAAAGGCUUUCAACAACAUCCUGGGGUUGGUUAUGAAGAGACAUUCAGUCCUGUUUUGAAACCAGCACCUCUGAGAUUUGUUUUGACUUUAGCUGUUAGUUUCAAGUAGUAGAUAAGACAGCCAGACAUUAAUAAUGCAUUUUUUAAUGGUCAUUGGCAAGAAAAGGUGUUCAUGAAACAACAGGAGGGUUUAUUGAUAAAAGAUUCCCUAAUCACAUUUGUCUAUUGAAAAAGGCAAUAUAUGAACUAAAACAAGCACCUAGAGCUUGGUUUGACAUGUUGAAGUCUACUUUGCUUGGUUGGAAUUCGAAAUACUCAAAAUGUGAUAAUUCAUUGUUUUUCCUAAAGCUGAAGUCCUAUGUGAUGUUUGUGCUUAUCUA